AUUAAACGCUGGCGGCAUGCCUUACACAUGCAAGUCGAACGGCAGCACGGGGGCAACCCUGGUGGCGAGUGGCGAACGGGUGAGUAACGCAUCGGAACGUGCCCUGGAGUGGGGGAUAACGUAGCGAAAGUUACGCUAAUACCGCAUAUUCUGUGAGCAGGAAAGCAGGGGAUCGCAAGACCUUGCGCUCUGGGAGCGGCCGAUGUCGGAUUAGCUAGUUGGUGGGGUAAAAGGCCUACCAAGGCGACGAUCCGUAGCGGGUCUGAGAGGAUGAUCCGCCACACUGGGACUGAGACACGGCCCAGACUCCUACGGGAGGCAGCAGUGGGGAAUUUUGGACAAUGGGCGCAAGCCUGAUCCAGCCAUGCCGCGUGAGUGAAGAAGGCCU
rnacentral:rRNA from 1 species